rnacentral:sRNA from 1 species
AUUGGGUAAUUACUGACACGGGCGAAGAGGGUUUCCUCUCCGCCCGUUCAUGCAUGUUAGGGGCAGAUAAAAAACA